GAAAGAAUUUCUCGCACUUCAACUAAAAUUACUUACAAACGCAAUCUGGUGUUCCUCACAUAAGAUGUAACGAUCUAAAUUAGAAAAGAUUAAAAAAAAAAAAAAAUUAAAAAUGAGUUAAACGCAUUGAAAUUCAAAUAAGCAAUAAGCAUUCUUAUCGCUAUGUAUGCCGUAUUGGGAUGACUUUUUGAGAGGAGCAAGAUGAACGGUGAGGAUGGAAGUAAAGUUGGAAAAUUAGGGUGCAAGGGAGACCUAGGGUUUUUGCAGAGUAGUAUAAAAGGGGAUCAGCCUAAGCCAUGUAUACACAGUAGAUAUGAGCCGCAGUGGGGAAUUGGGAGAGGGAGCUGGGUCAUCUGAAGCUUGCGGUAUGGGUGGGCCGGGAAAAAAUUCGAAAUCCUUCAGGGUUCUCAUUUCUUGCCGACUCCACCCAUACCUAUGGUUUCAGAUUUCUCCUCCUUCUCCCUCAUUCAUCCCGUCUCUUUGAUAAAAGCUCUAGGAUCCUUGUCUUUUAUGAUAUUUUUGUGGUUCGAUUUGACUUGAACUUGAAGCUACUAUAAUUUGCUUUCGUGUUUUUGCAGAUGACCAAGGUUGAAGAUGAUGAUCUAGGGUUUUGUUGUGGGAUGCUGUGAAAUUUCGAGAUCUAUUAGAUCUACGGAAAUCUGGAUGCUUGUAUAUAAUUUUUUCUUCACUAUCUAGUUUAUUGAGCGAAGCUCUCUUUGUGGAUCUGGAUACGAAAUGUUGUGAAAUGGGAAAAAAUUUGUAAACACACCCAAAAAAAUAUGUGAAUCUGAAUGUGAAAUGGCGUGAAAUUUCAAAAUUUAAAAUUUGGGUUAUUCUUUUAUCAGAAGUGAGAAAAAUUUGCAAGCACAUCCCAAAAAAUUAAAUUAUUAUGUUCCAACCCAAAAAAUUUAUAUGCGAAGAUGCGUUUUUCCAGUAAAAAUGUAGAGAUGAAAAAUCAUUAUUUCUAAUUUCUACCCAUCAUAAGAAUAUAAAGGGAUAGCAUCGCCAAAUGCCAUCUAGGUUAUGGCAAACGGCAAUUAGAUGUAAUUAUAAUUAUGUGAAGGGGGCGGGCCCACAUUACUUGGAGAAGAGGAAAAGGUUGGUCUAAAAUCCAACGGUUGUGGGCAAGGGUUUUUAAUCCAACGGGUUAAAAAAGGGGUAGGGUCGUGAGAGCACUAUAUAAGGAGAUAACAUGUAGGGGUUUAUUCACGCUGAAGGAGGAAAAGGGAGAGGGGGUUUAGGGUUUUCAGAAGCUUGUGGGAUGAGCGUGUCGGAAUGGAGGGAAAUAGAAUUCUCCUCCAUUCGAAAUCAGAGUCCUUUCCGACUCCGCUCAUUCCAUUGGCUUCAGAUCACUCCUCCCUCUCCCUCAAACCUCCCAUUUUCUGUUCCAGAUGCCUGAUAUCUGUCUGAUUCGAUUUUCGUUUUUUUGGUGUUCUUGUUAUUGGUUUUUUUUUUUUCUCUUGCAGAUCUCUCUUCUGUGGAUUGUGGAUUGUGGAGCGGUCGGGUUGAUCCGUGGAUCUGUGAUUGCGUUUUGAAGCUUGAUUCUCUGGAGUUUGUCAUAUUUUUGUUGUGAUAAAUUUUAUCCAUGGUUUAUAAGUGUACUUCCGUGGAUCUGUGUUUUUUAGGGUUUCAUUUUUUGGUGUUUCCCUCGAAGUCGAAGUCAUUGUCUGACGAAUACUGAUAAAUGAUAUAGAUUAACGUGUGUGACCGGCUAUGGCUGAGGGUUUCAUCUUUUGGCGCUUCCCUCGAAGUCAUUUCCUGACGAAUACUGAUAAAAAAUAUUGAUUAACGUGUGCGACCGGACAUGAAUGAGAAAUUAUUGAACGGGAUUCUAGUCCCUACUUCCUCCUUGGUUUAUAUAACUAUAAAAAGAAAAGUUAUUUCAUUUAUUUUUAUUUUUCUUUUUUUUUUUUAUAAAAUUUAUAACAUAUAUUUUGUAGUAAUUAAAAUUUUCGAGGAAUCCGACGAGGUUUGAACCCAUCCCUAUUUUGGAUUGCAUCCCAAUCCGAACCAAGCAAAUGGUAGAUAAAACGUUUUUAAAGGUAUACCGUUUAAAAUUUUGAAUUUUUUGUUUGUGAAAUUUAUUAAUCUUCAAAAGAUUAUUAUUAUUAUUAUUUAAAUUAUAUUUAAAGAAAAGAAAUAAUUUUUAAAAUGGAAAAAGAUAAAUUUCUAACAUUCGGCGAAGGUGGAGCAUUGGGACAAGUUCACAUUGGAUGGCUAUGAAACUUGGAAGAUUUAUUCGUCUCAAAGUGGGAAAGCAUAUUAUAAAGUCCAAUUCUGUAUUUGAGUACAAAUGCUAUAUUUAGUAAGGAAUCUAAUAUUUUUUUUAUUUUUAUUUUUUAUUUUUAAAUUUCAUGGGCUUUAUGUUCUCCACGGUAAGGUACACCUGAAUCUUCAUGUUGCAUUAGGGGUAUCUUAGAGUUUGGGCAUUUUUUUCAUGUGCUAAGUUCUGAAAUAACAUUGUUACAAGCAAAAAUUAAGUAACGUCUAAAUAGGUCUGAAAUAUCAAUCAGACUUGAGUCCAACAUUCAAUAAGUUUAUAAAUAAUAUGUAAUAGAAAAAUCUUUAUAAGUUUAUAAAUAUGUAUUUCUUUAUAUAAAUGCAAUGUUAUAUUUAAGAAAAAAUAAAUAUAUAUAUUGAAAAAAAAAAAAAAGGCAUUCAUGAAUUUUACUUAUUGAAAUUAAAUAUAUAUGAAAAAUAGUUAAUUCUUGCAAUUUAAUUGAUAUUGGUUUAAUUAAUAAUUUUUUGGAUAUAGUGAUUCUAAUCUUGUUCAUUUUAUUUUAUUUUAUUUAAAAUUAUUUAAUUUUUUUAAAAUUAUAUUAAAAUAAAUAUAUUUUAUAAAUAAUGAAAUAUUAUAUUUUUAUAAAUUAUUUUAUUAAAAAAUAUUUUUUUAUUUUACAUGUGAUAAUAAAAUUUAAAUUAAUUUAAUUUAAAAAAAAAUCUUAAAUGCCAAUUUCGAAUUUAAAACAAAAAGGAAAUCCUAAAUUUGUUAUUAUUUUAUUUAUUUAAAUUUCAAAUCUAUGUCGUCAUAGAUUAUGAUAGGCCAUUAUCAUGCUAGGUGAAGGGUCAUAUAUUGCAUUGAAUAUUAGAGAUAACAUUGAAAAAGUAGCAAAAUAUUGGUGAUAUUUAAUGGAUGCCGAAAGCAAAUAUGGUGGAGAAAUAUUAGAGCUACUAUUUUUCAAAAAACUGGGUAGAAAACCAUUGAUAGGCUUGGAGAUGAAGAUUAGUUUUGGUCGAUUUAUUCCCAUUUUUUUUCUUCACUUUUUAUAGCAGAUUUUUAGGAUGUUUCAUCAUGUGUUGUUGACAGAUCAUGAAGCUAAAAAUAGUGAAAAAAAAUCUUAGAGCCGUUGUUGUUGGAGUUGUAUGACAUGGUUCAACAACUAUUUUGAUUGAAUUAUUUGGUCCCAUUCAUUAUCAAUGGGAUAGGGAUGCUUCCGAUAAGAAAUAUAUUGAUGCAAUUUUUGUUGUGGUUGGAACUAUGUUGUAUGGUUCAACAACUGCCUUAUCGAAUUAUUUAGUCCCAUUCAUUAUCAAUGGGCCGGGGAUACUUCCAACUAGAAUUGAAGAGUUGGUGUUGGACUGGUCGAGAAUCAAAGUUUAUCGGAAGUGGUAUAAAAUUCUUGAAAAACUAGCUUUUUAUGAUUACAUCAAGAAGCUAAUAGAAAAUCAAAGUUUAUUAGAAGUUUCGUCUAAUUUUUUUUUAAAAAUUUCCUUUUAUGAUUACUUUUGCAAUAAUCCAGUAAUUCGAUUUGCAAUAUUCUUAAAAAGUUUAGUAUUUGAACUCUGAUUUACACACUAUUUAAAAGUUUAAUAUUUGAAUCCUGAUUUGCGUACUAUUUAAAGCGUUGGACUCCUAAUUUCUUAGAAUUUGAAAUGAUAUAUAGCAUACCCAAAAAUGACACCAAAUUUCACCUCAAAUUUAAAGUAGGCCAAAUUUUGAGUUUCAAAUUUCUAUGUGAACUUCAUUACAUUUACUUUAAACCUCCUUCAUUAUGGUCUUUUAUCCUUUUUUUCACUUGGUAACAUCCGUUACUAGUAUUUCAUGCUUAUGACUUGCUCAUUAUGCCCUUGCUUGAACUCUUCAUGGUUUAUAACUCUAGAGUCUCUUAUUUAUGCAUAUUUAAUCCUUUCUACUCCCUUAGUUGAUAAUGAAAUUUGGAAAUUAGGCUCAAAAUAAAAGUAGAUCCAUAACUAGGGUUUUAACAUUAAUUUGAGUUAAGUUAGAUGAUUUGACCUUUUUAUAUUGUAUGAAUCAUAUCAUAUUUGUGUUAUUAGAACACAUAUAUUGACUCCAAAUAAUUACAGAUUGAACAUGACGUACAAUGAAUUAUGAUGUAAAAUUAUCAAAUUGUCAUGAUUCAUCAAGUUACUAGGUUGCAUGGACUUUCAACCUUGAAAGGAUAUUAAGCAUAUGUUGAAAUCAACCAGUGACUUUGACCUAUGGGUGAGAUUUUAAAGUAGUCAUAUAAGUGGACUAUUAAUAGAGACACUAUAAUAUUUCAUAAGAUUAAGACAGUAUAUUCUCUUAGGUGAUCUAAAUGACAUAUUAUUAUGAAAUCUGUGAUCACAAUAAUUUCUUUAAUAUAAUUUGAAAUAUGCUCCUUAGAGUUAGAGUAUUUUAGUUAAGUAGAUAAUAUGAGGAUGUGUAACUUAAGGAUUAGAGAGGUAAUCUUAAUAGGUUGAUAGUACUAUCUUAUUAAAUUAAAGAUACUAGUUCAUGGGGAGUUUGGAUGCAAUGGAUAAUAGACCAUAAACUCAAGCUUUGUUUUGUUAUAAUUUCAUAAGAUAUUGGAGUGUAGUUGACUUUUUUUAGUAAAGUGUUUAGUCGAUUUCAAAAUUGAAUUAUAAGAGAGUUAAUAUUUUUUAUGUUUCCCUUGACUUUUGUUUUUAUAAACUUUCCCCGAGUCAAUUGAGUUCUUCUAGGUUCGUGCUUAGAUAGCUCAAACUUCUCUUAAUAUAAAGAGCAUAGAAAUGUUAAAACUCUUUGCCCCAAAACUUUUAUUUUUAAUAAUUAAAGGCCUUUCUGGAUCCUCUCUCUCUUUAUAUUUAGUUUUGUGCUUUUCUUUUCGUGUCCCCAAUUUCAACCUUAUGUUCUUUAGUCAACCUGUAAAUAUAGCAUUUUAGUGAACCAUGGUUGGUACCUAAAUUUUGGUCUCCUGUUUGUAUAAAAUGACCAUGAAAAGGAUGAAUAACCAGCGCGUGACAUAAAUUAAAACCUGGAAUUGGGAUAAUUUGAAAAUUGAAACUCAUGGGUUAAAUCCAAACCCAGAGCAAUUGGCUCUAUAAAAUACCAUAUGAGUGGAGGUCUGUGCCAAAAUCUUGAAGGAUUAUCUUGGAUUAACAACACUAGUCUUGAAGUGGGGUUUUUCCUUCUUUCAAAGCCCGGAAUUAUAAGCUAUUGAAUUUUGAAUGUGGAGAAUAUUUGUGCAUAAGCAACCAUUUUUGUCUGAUGAAAUUGACAACUUAGAAAAUAGGACAUUAUUGCUCAAUGUUGUUAUUGAAAAUGAUAAAAAGUGAAUGCUUGAAAUAUAAGAUGCAGCUCAAAUUUUCAACCCUGAAUUAGCUCUUGAUCUCCUGAUUUCACAAUACCCUGAAGCUAGUGUUAGCUCUCGGUCUCCUGAUUCAUAUUGUGAAAUCAACGGUAAAAAAAUGGUUAAAUUUCUUGAAGCAAUAAAUAUGUUGCUUUGCAAGCUUUUUGUGCCCAACUACAAUGAGGAAUGAAUGAUAAACAAUUUUGAAGCAAAUGAAAGAAAUAGACAGAAUGAUAGGAGCUUCAAAAGAAGUGAAAAUAUGUUGAAGAAAGAGACUAUGGAGGAGUGCCACUGAGCAAAUAGUGGAGAAGUGCCGCCAAAUAACUAGGGGUAGGUAUGUUGAAGAACAACUUUGGAAGAGGAAUGUCACCUAAAUUCCUGCCUCUCAACAACAAUGGUGGAAUGCUGGUCUUUAUACGCCCAGAUUAUGGUACCUUUAUUUUGAUUUAUCUUUAGGUUUUUGGGUUUAGUAACAAGAAACCUAGGAAUAAGCAAUCAACCUAUUUCUAAGCAACACUAAACCUAGGGAUAAACGAAAGCACAAUUAAAGACCAUGAAUUUCUAUUUACAUCCAUGAAACUUAUUAUAACCCUUAGGGAUCAAUUAUAAUUCAUGACAUCUGUAGAACAAUCUAAAUUCAUCUACUUUGUUCUAAGAAUUUCCAGCCAACUUUGGGGAAGGUUAGAGAAAUCUGGAAUUCGGAAUGUUUCCCAAGUGAUUUGGAGGAUCACUUGUUGCCGAGUUCGAGUCACUUCUGAAUGUUUCCCCACUUAUAAUUAUGCGAGGGGUUAACAUGAAAAUUGUGCAAUCGGUCGGAAAGUGGGUGGUCAAUUGAGGACCACAAAACUAAAAGAAAUUAUGGCUCAGUUUGGUAUUUUUCUUUUUAAAUAGUUUUUUGCCCUUCGAAAUAAAAAAUUAGAAAAAUAUUUUGUGAAUGAAAAAAAAGAGAAAAUAUAUAUAUAUAUAUUUUUUAAAAAGUAUUUUAAAUAUGUUGAGUUUUCCAAAAAUGUCUAUUUGGUUACGUUGGAAGAAGCUAAAAAUAAAAGUAUUAUGCAAAAUAUUAUUUUUUUUGAAAAUUUUUUUAGUGGAAAAGAAAUAAGGAAAGUUUAGAAAAGUUUAUUUUUUUAAUAAUAUAAUUUUGCUUCUCUCACGUUUUUUUAUGGAUAAUAAAUAAAUAAAAAUAAAUUAUAAAUUAAGAGAUUGUAAUAGGAAAUAAAAAUCUUAUAAAUAAAUAAUUCAUAAUAAAUAAAAAUAAUAUAUUACUUAAUCUCACCAUCAUUUUUAUUUUUACUCAUCAAAUGAUUUAAACAAAUAUAAUUGUAAUUUUUUUAUUUGCCAUUUAAUGAAAAAUUGGUUCUUAUAUUGUAUUAAAUAAUUAUAAAUAAAUGAUUUUAUUUAAAAAGAAACUCAAUUUUAACAUAAAUCAAUUAAAAUAGAGUUUAAUUUAAUAUAAUUCCCAUAAAUCAAUAAAAAAAAAUGCUUUUCAUCGGUAAUUUUAAUUUAUAAAUUAUAAUGAUUCAUCAAUUUUAUUUUUUCAUUUUUUUCAAUGAUUAUUACUCUUAAAAUAAGAUUAAAAAGGCUGCCAUGGUUGACAAUAGAAGGAUAUAUGUAGUAGUUAUAGAGAUGUUGAUUAAGCUUAGAUUUUGUCUUCUUGAUACCGAAUAAGCGGACAUCUAUCCUGAAAUCAAGACAUUGAAACCGAAAAGACUCCCAUGUUCCGCAACUGGUCCGAGCCACGUGGUCGAAUGGUCUACACACGUGUCGUCAUUAUCAGUUUGUUUCCCAUGACUGCAAAUUUGCAACAACCAUGUCAUGUGCCACGUCACAACCAACCUUUGACUUUAAAUCAGCUUGUGGCUCUAAUUAUUGAUUGUUUAGGCUAAGAUAAAAAUGGUUCCCCAGCGACCUUACCCACCACAUGUUUAGAUGGCUUCUUCCCAACUCUCAAUAAUUAUCCAUAAGGGUGGGUGGGUCCUAUUGGUGUUGUUUCAAAGUAGGUAAUAUAUUACAUAGCUAAACCUAAAUCCAAUAUAAAUUAUAAUAGUGUAAAAAACAUAAAUAUAAAUAUUAUUUAAUUAUUAAAUAGAUAGUACGGACUAUAGUCUAUUUAAUCAAUUUAAUAAUAAAGUUCUCUUAUUUAAUAAUCAGAUUUAGUCGAGAUCUUAUAUAUGUCCAUAUGAUUAUUAUCUCAAUCAAGUAUAUUUAUGAAUCGAUUGAUCUAGUUAUUUAAAAUAAAUCAAAUAUGAGUUAAAUGAUUUACAAAUAUAAUUAUAUUAAUAGUGAGAUUAUUAAAUAGGUGAAUGUGAGUUAAAUUCGUAUUAUAUAGUUGAUCCAAAAAUAAGGGUUAUGCAAAUCGGCACAAAUUUGAUCAAAACUCAUUUAUACUUGAUUCAAAUCUGCGAAAAUUGUGUUUGACUAUAAUUAUCUUUUCCCAAUUAAAAUAAAAUAGAGUUGCCACCUUAGCUUCAUAAGGGUUGUGACAUGUAGUUCAAUUUUUUUAUUUAUUUUGUUUUUCUUCUACAAUGAUAAUAUGUAUAUUUUCCCAAUUAAAAUAAACCUUAGCUUUGUAAGGGUUGUAAUAUGUAGUUCAAUUUUUUCAUUUAUUUUCUUCUUCUUCUUCUACAAUGAUAAUAUGUAUAUUUUCCCAAUUAAAAUAAACCUUAGCUUUGUAAGGGUUGUAAUAUGUAGUUCAAUUUUUUCAUUUAUUUUCUUCUUCUUCUUCUACAAUGAUAAUAUGUAUUUUUUCUUACCUUAGCUUUCGUAAGGGUUGUAAUAUGUAGUUCAGUUUUUUGUUUUUUUUUUUUUUUUAUUCUUCUUCUUCUAAUUAUAAUGAUUCUUUUUUGGCUAUUUUUGGUUUUUGAAAAAUUUGAAGGAAAAUGUAAGAAAAGAAAAUUGAAAGAAAAAAUAAAAGGAAAGAAAAAUAAAAAAAAUUUAAAAUCAAUAAAUUAUGUUUAUAUAUUAUUUCAAAAUUAUUUUAUUUAUUUAAUUCUUCAAUAUAAAAAUUAAAUGAUUUAAAAUGCAUAUAUUUAAAAAUUAAAUCAUGCAAUAAACCUGAUCAUUUAGAUGCCAAGUAAUAAUCAAUAAUUACCUUCUUAUUGCUUCGUUUUUCUUUGCUCAAAUCGACGUUAAAAUAUGAGAUUUUAUUUGUUUAUUUAAAUAUAGGAGAAUUUCAACAAAUACGACUACAAAUAUAUCCUAAAACCCUACGCUGACUCUUAGGCCUUGACAACAAUAGAACUCCUAACGUAGUGCUGACCAUCUGACCAUAUCAAUCGUCCGAAAACAUAGUCCUCAGCCACCCGACGUCCUUUAGCUUUCAGGGUAAGACGGAAGCUCUUCUCCUCACCAUACUCCCUGAACUCCAAUUUAUUGGGCUUCACCGCAACUGAAAUUCCAGGUGGUGCCUUGACACUCGCCGUAUACGUGCCGGGAGUGCCAACAUUCUUGACAGUUCUGGAAAUGGUAACUGAGCCUGAGAGAUUAGGAGCUGUGAUUGAAGGGUAGUUGAAGCCUGUGAGACUGAAGGACUUGGGGCACUUGUAUGGCUUCUGUGAGAAUAUUUGAAGUUGGGUCUCAUUGUACCCAAUGGCACAUAGGAAGUUGAGGUAGUCAUUAACAGUGGAGUCAUAUACCAGUCCAGGAUCCAUGGCCCGGUUUGGUCUAACAUGGCCUGCACCAUAGCUGAAUGGAGUUGCUUUAAGGUUUGAUGAGUUCAGCAUCGGCUCCAUAUUGUCAUCUCGUGUUCUUGCUGCAAAUGAUAAAGAAUCAGAAAUGUACGAAAGCCAGAAUGAUUCAGCAUUAGACAUAAAGAGUAAAGCCCUAGUACCACUUGUCAUGAUUGCGGAUUUGAUAGCUGCAGGGCUCCAAUCAGGGUGAAGGGUUUUGAGAAGGCCCACAAUGCCAGAGAUGUGAGGGCAGGACAUGGAUGUGCCUGAUUGUGCGUUGAAAGGAAUUCGACGUUUGUCAAAUGUUUGAUCAGUUGGCCCUAUUGAUUCGCUGUAUGCAGCUAUGAUAUUCACCCCUGGGGCAGUUAUAUCAGGCUGAAAAUGAAACGAAAAUUAUUCAUAAGAUCACACAUGGAUGACCUCCUUGUAGAGAAGGAUUGAGUGGGUGAGCAGACCUUGAGAAUUUCUGGUGUAAUGGUGUUGGGUCCCUUCGAUGAAAAAGAGGCCAUAAAUGGAGCAGGCUUUAUUCCCAAUUGGGUCCUCACACGGGUUAGGUAAGCCAUGGGGUUCCUGUUAAUAUGCAUGAUUGGCAAAAUUGAGUAGUGAAGACUAAGGAGGCUAGAACUUGGACAGGAGACAACAAAAGGGACAGGGAAUUACUUGGUAGAGUUGAUGUAAUUAAAGACAGCUGCACCAUCAGAGAAGUUGACAUGGGAAGCAGGAAGCACGUGAGGGUCGGCUAUGAGUUCAUUUCCACUCUGCAUAUCAUUAGCUAGAAUGAACCCAACAGCGCCUGCAAGUGCAGCCUGCUCGCCCUUGUCAACUCUUGGAUUUUCCCCUCGAAGGCAGACCAAGAUCUUCCCCUUCACCUUCUUUGGGUUGAGGGUUCCGGGCUUACAGAGAAUGCUGCAUUUAUUCAAGCACAUAACCAUCAGGGCUUUUGAUAAGAGCUACCAUAGUCAAGGUGGAAUUGAAAAAUAAAAACAAAAAAUCAGUCUAGCAUAGAGUUGUUUCACUCACGCAUCUUGAGCAGACGCAUUGGCAGCUUUAGCAUCUAAACUGCUGAUCACUGGAUAGAACUUGUUUGAUGGCAAGCCUUUGGUUGAGAGGCUCAUGCCCUGCCCAGUAAAAUAGGAGCGUGUUAGUGGGAUGGAGUAUGCAGUGAAAAUGAGUAUCGCUCACAAGCCAUCACACUAACAAUAACCAUCUGGUGAAAAUGAAUAUGCACAAACUUCUUCCAAACAGGGUAGCAAUAUCUAAUUGGUUUGUGGAUGUCCAAUAACCAUCUGCAGGUGUUCGUUCUAGAUGUCCAGGAAGAGACAAGGAAAAAUAGGGCCUCAACUUUGCUAAAAUUAAUAGAUAAUCGUAGUGGUUAAGGUGAUUAGUACCUUGAGGUGCUUUCUAUUGCCAAGAGCAACGUAAUUUGUGAAUUCCCUGUCAAUGGUACUAGCACCAACCGUUAUCAUCCAGGGUGAUACGUUUGAUACCGACGCAUCCUUUGGCCCAUCAUUUCCAGCAGAGGAAACUACAACAAUGCCCCUCUUAACAGCAUGGAAAGAACCAAUUGCAAGACCAUCUGUGAAAUAAUCACUGGCGUCCCCACCAAGAGAUACUGAUAGAACAUCAACACCAUCGUGUAUAGCAGCAUCAAAUGCAGCCAUGAUGUCUGCAUCAAAGCACCCACCAUUGUUGACUUGGGGCCAGCACACCUUGUAAGCAGCCACACGAGCUCCUGGUGACCCGCCUUUUGCGGUACCAUUACCAUAACCAAACACACUUGCUCCAUAAACUAAGCUACCCCCAGCAGUAGAUAGGGUGUGGGAGCCAUGUCCUUCAUGGUCGCGCGCUGAGUUGAAGGAGGAGUUGAGUGGACCAGCAUAAGCAGCAUAACCUUUGUUGAAGUACCUUGCUCCAAUAAGCUUCCUGAAAAAUUUCAGGACAAUUAAAAAGAGCAAUGGGUGCCUUCAGUUAAGAAACCAGGAAAAUUGUUCUCUUUUGCCUAGACAACAAUUUUAUGGAAGAAAGAGGGAAGUAUAUCAGGAUGAUCUCAACUCUGUUAGCAACUUGUAUCAAAACAAAAAACUGAGUAAGUCAGUGGGUUGCUCAGUACCAUUAGGAGCCAGCAUAUAGUGUAGGGCGGGGCGUGGCAGGAUCACAUGUAAAUCUCAAUCAUAUUACUAUGUUCAGUGAGGAAGAGGAACUAACUUUUGAAAAUUGAGCAAUCUUUCUCAAUUUGCACCUCCUAUGUAGAAACAUAUAGAUGCUCAAACAACUAGACCAUGUUUUAAUACAACAAAACAUGCUUUAACUUUUAAAUUCUUGUCCUUUUCCAUUGUUUCCAAGAUGGACUACUUAGAGAUCAUAAUAUCCCCACAUUCAUGAACUUUAUUUCAGAGCCUUUUUCUUCAAAUUUGCAUCAUAUAGGUUGAGCAAAAAUAGACCUUUACCAUGCACAUGAAAAACUGAUUUUGUGUUGGUUUUGCCUAUCUCCAUCAUCUUGUAGGAAAAUAAAACCAAAAUACCAACAAUGAUCCUAAAAGGCAAUUCACCCUUUCUCUUUUUCUUGUACUCAGGUGAGGAGGAUGGGGAGGAUCUCUACAAAAAGAGAAUAUACCUGUUGCAAGUAACAGCAUUUUUGGUUUCAUCCUGACAUGUCCCCCGCCACUUUGAUGGAACUAGUCCCAUUCCCUCAUCACUAAAGCUCUUUGAUUCAGGCCAAACACCUAGCGCAACAAAGGCACAUUCCCAUUAUCAAAAUGUGUAUCCAAUGAAUUUCAAGCAAAAGAGAAACAAGAGAAUAUGAAUAGUCGUCUUUUAUUUCCACUUUUUGUUUGUGACCCUACCAUUAUCUAUCGUUCACAGUUAAAAUAUCAUGGCUCCAAACAUCAGAAACACAAGUGAUAGAGAAGAAAUCUGAUGAUCAAGUGCUUUCUAAUCAUGCAUUUUGCAAGAACAAAGCGGUAAUGAGUACUCGCAUAAAUCAAAUCCCAGAAUUCUCAAUAAUGCAAUAAGAGAAUUUGAAUUUGGAUAAAGUCAAACCACCAGCCAAGUAAAAUGCUAUAAUGGGUUGGUGAAGUUUCAAAUGAAUUUGAAUUAAAUCAAGUUCAUUAUCAUUCUUCCUUUUUCUUCCUUUCUUCCAAUGACAAAAAAUGUGAUCCAAUAUGGCCAAGUCAAAUACCAUAACACAAGGAUAUUGAUUCAGAGAAAGACCUAUUGCCAAAAGCGUGUAUACAUCAAAUCAUCUUGAAAAAACUCACUGAAGAAGAAGAAGAAGAAGAAGAAGAAGGGUUUUGCUAGUUUUCAGGAAAAUGUAACCGCCAAAAUGAAUUUAAUACUCCCAUCUGUUCAGAGCAAACUACUUGAGUUCAAUAAGAUGAGAAAAUUCAGGAAAAAGAAGUUAAGAAGUUACCUGUGUCAAGGUUUCCGAUAAUUGUAUCUUCACCAAACCUGGCUUUCUUCCAAAUUGAAUUCGGUUGAAUGACUCCAUUCUUUUCCAAGUCAAGGAAAUGCCAUGACCGGGUUGUGUGCAGUUUCCUUCCCUUGUUCAAGAAAACUGAUAUAACAUUUGGAUGCUCUGUUUUGAAAAGCAAAUGCAGUUGUGCUUAUUAUGACAAAAAUGAGAAAAAGAUAAAGAGUGGAAACAUGAAGUGGACUCCUCACUUGCAAUUUCCGCUGCUUCUUCCUCUUCGAGGAUUGCAGCGAAGCCAUUGAUGUUCUUGUUAUAGGAGUAGAACAUGGCGUCCUUUGCCUUCUCAUUGCUGUGUAACGUAAAAGAGACUUGGUUGUGAAUCCCACAUGAAGAAACCAGAAAUAAUGCUGAACUAUUUCAAAAUUCUGUACCUUCCCAAGAAAGAUCCCAGAAAAUCAUAAUGGGAAUUUGUCACGCGAUCGAGAUCAACAGACGUAGGCUCUGGGCCAUGUGAAUGCGCUCCCAAGUAAACUAUAUAAGACUGCAGCACAGAAAAAAGAAGGAAAAAGGAAAAGAAAAAAAAACAAAAAUGAAAACCCCAUAUGAUGAAUGGUACUAGAUAAUAUUAAGAUGUCACCCUUGUACCGGGUUCAUCACCAUUUUUCAUCACUUCUGAAACAAACAAUUAUUCAUGUUGGUUUAUAUUUUAAUAUAAAAUAAUAUAAAAGAGAGAAAGACAUGAAAUGCUUGCCUUUUUGGUGGCAAAAGUGGGCAUCUGUAACAGCAAAAAGAGAAGGAAUGAGAGAAGUAAAGAAGGAAGCAGAGAAAGCCUCAUGUCUUCUCUCUAAUGGUUAACUCUCUCUGUAUCUGUAGAGAUGUGUAAAUGGUGGCCUCUCUCCCCUGUUUUUAAAUACUCUGUUUCUACCUUUUAUGGGAUAGACAUCUUCAUCUCCCUUUUUUAUAACGGAAAGUGGUGGGGACUCUUCCAAUUUCUAAGCAACCAACUUAUGCAAUUUAAGAAUUGGAAAUAAAAAAUCUUCAGGCUUUUUAAUUUAAUUUAAUUUAUUUAUUUAUAAUAUUUACAGUUAUGUGUUUCUUGGAACUGAUUUUGUUUUUUCCUCAUUUUGAUGCCAAAUUAGUGGCUUCCAAAGGUGAUAAUAUGAAGUUAUAGCACUUGGAUUUGCUAAUGUGGUUUCCAUAAAGGGCAUCAUGGAAGGGAUUGAGAGGUAGAGUGACUUUGAAGAGAUCAUUUUUUGGAUUUUUUUUUUUUUUUUUUUAAGGGAAAAAUUGAAGCCAUCUCCUUGAAUCUUUGUUAUCAUUUAAGGCACACAUUUUUGGGCCUUUUUUGUAAGUUCCAAUUUGAUGUCACAAUAGUUUUGAAUUUAAUUUAAGUAUACAUGAGUGUAAGAAAUUGGUGGCCAUCCAUGUCCCAUCAAUUUGCACAUAUGACAUGCCUGUGUAUUAGGGCAUGGUUGGAUUUUAAUAUUUUGAUUCAAAACUUGAUAUUAUACCAUUUUAAGAUUUGAAAUCAACCUAAAUUGAUUUUUAUAUGGUUUGUCUAGGAAGAAGUUUUGAUCAUCUUAUGUGAAAAUCAAUCAGUGUCUAGUAAAGAUAGAUUACAAUUAUUUGGUUAAUCUAUCAUUGGAUUUAGGAAUGACUAAAAACUUGGGACUUGAACUUACAUCUUUGGUUCUGAAUUCUAAUAUUAAUUCUUGGAUCAGACUUUUACCAUCUUAUCCCAAAACCAAUUGGGAUUAAUUAAGGGUAAAUAAGUCUUUUACAACAUUUAACAUUACUAUCAUUUAAGUGAAGCAUCAAUGAACUAAAGAGUGAAAUUGUUUUAACUUAGGCUUAAUAGUUUUUAACUUAACCUUUUUUUAUUAGAUUUUUAAACUUUAUGGAAACAUGUACACAAAAUUCUUCGCAUCAAAUUUUCUUGCAAGGAAAAUCAACAACAUCAUGUUAUGUAAGUAGCACUUGAUGGGAUUUAAGAGUGCUAAAAAAUUUGUGGUUAUGACAUAAAAAGGGUUUAAGUCACCACUUUAAGUUUGUUGAUUACAUUUUAAACAAAGACUUUUCCUUUCGCUAUUAAUUAAAAUCGAGAAGGUGUUUGUUUUUGUAGCUUAUAACUAAAAGGAAUUUGUUUGCAAGUAACUAUUUAACUUGUCCUUCAUAUUUUUCAUCACGGAAUAUACUUAUCUUUUUCAGAAUAGAAAAAGUAACAUUUUUAAACCUUUAUCAUAAUGAAUUUUCUUGUCUUUUAUCACUUCCUUCUUGGACCACUAUCUUUUUCUCUUCUCCCACAACUUCAACAUCAGUAGCUUUCGAAAUAAUUUAUUUUAUUUUAUUUUAUUUUAAAAUAUGUUAAAUUAUUUUUUUGUCAAAUAAGAAAUAAUUUAAAAUUAUUUUUCUUAAUACAUUAAGAUAUUGAUUUUUAGCAUAUAAAAAAUAAUCCAUUCAACAAUAAAUAUUAAAAAAACAAACAAUUUAAUAUUUAAUAUUAUUAAGAACUAUUUAGGUUUAAGUUAAAUUAAGUUCUAUUUAGAAUUAAGUUAAAAAAACAUCUACAACCAUUUGAUUUUGGGUUAGCUCCUAUGAACAUACCAUCUAGAACUUCCAAUGCUAAAUUCUUGGACAAAGGUUUGAGAGCCUUCCCUUUGAAGUUAGCUGCCAAACCUCACAUUCAAAACUUUGGAGUAGGCAUGACUGAAGUCUUUGGGAAUAUUAUUUUGUAGGGACUCGUAUUUGACUUGCAAGGUGAUAAUUGCAAUGAAUUUUCUAGACCUUUAUAAGUGACCUCACUAGUCCCAUCUCUAACCAAACUAGCGAGUUUCAUGCUAUCAUUUUACUUUAGUCAGUAUUGUAGUACCCCAUGGAUUUAUGGGCAGGUACAGGCCCCAGGGUUGAUCCCAAUCAUCCAAAUCAAAAUCCAGAAGUUUCUGAAACAAGCUUUGAUGAUACUUAAAUAGCUUUUUACAAACUUAUGACACAUUUUUUUAGAUAAUAUCUAAAAAGAAAAUUCACUCCAAGAGUUCACCCAAAAAAAAAGAAAAAGGAAAAAAAAAUGAUUGUUUUCUCAUGAUAUUUCUUUCUCAUCCACAAAUGUGGGUGGGUCCAAAUAGCUGGCUUUAAUGUUAUAUUUGGUUCCAAAAAAAAUAUGAAUAAAAGAGAAGAAAAAUGAUUUUCUCAGUUAGUUUUACUAUGAAAAAUAUAAAAAUAUUAAAUAUAAUUAAAAUUAAUUAUAAACCCGUGAGUAUUCAAAUUAUUUAAUCUUCGUGUAAAAGUGAUAAAAUAAGCAAAAUUGAAGUGAUGUAUAAAAAUUUUUAUUGACUUAAAAUCUAUUUCUUCUCUAAUUUUUUCCUGAGAACCAAUUAUAGCCUAAAUGUUGACCUUCCUUAUAAUCAUUAGAUUCCUCUCAUGAUUUUGCGUAACCUUUCAAUUAUCUCACAUGUGUAGUUUAGGGAGUAAAAUUUGUAAAGCUGACAACAUGUUCUUCACCUCUAAUAAAAAUAGUACUCUUUGUUCAAUUAUUUCUUUAUAGACUGUUAUAUGGACACAUCUAGAACCCCACCCAAUUCUUUAUUUAGCCUAGCCCCACCAAGGCACUAACUUUCUGUUGUUUCUAGACUGUGAUCCAAGAGAGGAGCCAAUUUGGUGGUAAGAUCCUAAUAAUAUUCCCUCCAUAUUCCCCAGGCUUCCAUAUUUCUUCCUUGCUCUGUGUGAUGCAACUCAGACCAUUCCGGAGUUGUGGAAGUCACAAGGUGAGAACCACAUUGACCAAUGCUACGUUCUUUGGUUUAGAAACAUGUAGACAUAGAAUAGUUUGAGUAUAUGCAGAUUUAUAGGCUGACAGUUUGUUUGGAAGUUCAUUUGUUUGAAGAAGUCCUACAUCCCUGUGUUUGGUUGCCCAGAAACCUAAAGUAAAGGAUAUAUGAUUUGCAGUGCACAUAUUUUCUUUUUCUCUGGUUUUUAACAACCAGACCAAGGAAGGAUCAUUCAAUCGUGUUUAGGGUUGUGUAAUUAGGAUUUACAAAAGAAUUAAAGGAUGCGGCAGAUGGAUUUUUAUUAUUGGAUAGUCUUAGAGGGUAGCUUUCUUGAAUUACAUUGUGAAUUUUUACAAGAUCAUGUUCGUUACCUUCUCUGUUCUUUUGUGCAUAUGUUCUAUCUCAAAGAUAAGCAAACAGUAGCAGUCCAACCUAGUCCACACUGAUCAGAGGUUUUUCCAGUGUUCUGUCUCUCAUCUAAGCUCUGCAACGAUCUUGCACACCCACCUGGAUUGUGUUAGCCGCUGACCAGUCAUCAGGGCUAAGUUUCACACAAUCAAAAGGUGAAGCCUCUGAAGCACCAAACACUUCUCUACUGACAGCUAAGUUGUUGUCAAUUGCAACAUCAUAGUCUCAUUUUGUUUUGAGUGUUCUGCUUUCCCAUAUAAGUGGAGUCUCGUUAUAUCUUCUGCAUACUCGGAUUAGACUAAAGGCUUACGUAACAGUUGGUGGAUUCAAUCUAGGAGCUUGACUGAAAUUGCAAAUUGAUAUUUUAGUUUUGGGCUUUAGCUUAGUAUUUGUUACUUAGUCAUUAAAGACUGCAAUCCAAACACCAAGUUGGAGCUAAUUCAGUUGUCUUUCCUCUCAAGCAUGAGUUAUGCAUGUUAAAAGGGCAUAAAAUUUACCCUUUUAGGCUAAACAGGAAGAAGAAAUCAAGCAAACUCCUCAAAAAAUUUAACAAGGAAAUAUCAAAUUAUUUACAUUUCAUCUAAAUCACCAUAUAUUCAUGUAUGUGUUCCUAUAUUACAAGGAUGCUUCAAUAAAAUCAGUACACCUGUACAUGAAGACCUUAACAAAUUCCAUCUAAAACAAAGAAUCAUCUUCAUGACAACAAAUCCUCCUAACAACCCAUCUUCAGGGAAAAAAUAUAUAAAAAUACCACUGACUCAGACAUGCUAGAUAUUUGAUUUUUGUGUUCUUUUCUGAGCAGAUUUUCAGAAACCUUUCCAGGCAGUGAGGACUUCAUGGAAGACUUCAGCAAUCAGGUCCCUAUCUGCACACUGCAGAAAGGCAUUGAAAUCAUCUCGAAUGUCAAAUAUCUUACCAAACUUCACAAGAUAUCGCAAGCAGGCAGUUUUCAGUUUUGACAAUUGAUAAAGAGAUGCAUUUUGGAGCCUCUCCAGCACAUUCUUAGUGUCAAUAUCUUCUAAAAGACUCUCAUGGCAUGCCUCUUUCAGGUCUUCAAUGUCGUACUUAUCAGCUGCACGGAGAAGUGGCAGCCUGUGGAUCAGAAAUUCAUCGUGUUGGAUAUUCCCAUAAAUGUAAUUGAGAAAAGCUUGGCAGGCUUCAAUUGACAUGUCAGAGAUGUUUACGGUGGAUAGUUCUUUCUCUUUGAGGUCAUGUGAAAACAUGCUGCGAAAAACAGGGGAUAUUGAGGCCAGAACCGCACGAUGAGCUCCAAUGCUUCCAUCAGAAGCAUUAAUUAUAAUGUCUGUGUGGAUGUUUUCUGACAACAUCCGGCCAAGGGAUGCAAGAGCUGUUGUACUUGAUCUUUUUUGAGCGAAUCCUUCAGCCCAGAUGGAGCAAGGCUCUCCACCCUGUAGGUUACACCAAGAAGCACAUUAUCAGUAAAUAUAGGCAUAUGGUCCCAAGUAAAAACAAACCCCUUUCGCUUCUAAGUUUCAUUAUUUCUUUCCAUUGGCUAUGAUCACAAACACAUUGAAUGAUUGAUCAUACUGCCAGACUUUAAAUGUAGCUUACUCUAACUAAUUUAUUGCCAAUUGCAUUCAUUGUAGGUAAGAACAGGACAAUAGAAAGAGCAUAUUAGAAGCCUACGUUUGGUGAUGAAGUCUUCAAAUCUAGGAAUUCAACGUCGACAAUGAAUUUCCCAGUUAAUGGAACCUCAAUCGCCCAAACGAAAUCGUCGUUAUUCUUGAGCUGCUUGUCUGUUAUUUCUGCAUGAAAGGGACCCCAAAUUAUCAUGCUUAUGUUGGCCAAACAUCAAAGAAAUGCCGAAACCCAAAGAAAAACAAGGGUAUAGGUCAGGGUUCCAAAAUCAUGACAGAGACCGCCUAAUUUCUAGUUACCUGGAUGAACCAAAGCCUUGCGAUCUCCCACAGAAGAGAGCACUCUGAUGAUGAAAGACGCAAUUGGGGGGUUGUCUCUGGUUAAAUUUGAUGUUUCCGGGUACAGUUUAACAGAUAAUGUCCGAUUCUUCUCUAUAGAUAAAUGCCUUCAAUUCGAUCAAACAAGGUUAGAUUUUCUUGAGAUUCAUGGAGAGUAAGAAACUCGGGAGUGAGUGAUGGGUAUAAAAGAAUGAUUACCAAUUCCACUUGCCGAUCUUGAAAGGAUCGGACUUGCGGUAAGUGCAGGAAGCCAGGUUGUCGAUCCUCCAUUGGGCGAGGCGCGACGUGGUUUCGACUCUGUAUGCGGAGUCGCUCAUCCUAGCGAACGCGAGAGCCGCAGCGAUUUCAUGGAUGCAAUCGAAGAGACCAUCCAACAACUCUCCGGGCUUUCCCAGGUUUACUUUUCCGCCACGCACCACCGCCACUCUUCAUAGAAGCCUCCUCCUUCACUGCACUCAGCGCCCUGAAACCCCAGGAUCUUCACCACCGCUCUGUUUGUAUUUUUAUGAUUCAAAAAUUGUGUUUGAUGUUCCGGGCACGCAAGGAUUUUGGGAUUGCUUUACGCGAUUGAGGAGGAAGUUGCAGAGGCUAAUGGGUGCUUAAGGGUUGAAGAGAGAAUGUGCAGGUUUGUUGGCUUACACUGCACUUCAGGGGUUGGUUGGUUUAUUUAUUGGCCAUGUUUUUGUAUUCUUUCCCAUUAUUGAUUGGGCUUAUGUCAUGUUGAUUAUGGAUUGCAUUUUCAUAUGCUUGUAUUUGUGUUGGAAAAGGCAAGUAUUUCCUUUCAUUUUCGAGGCUUCCAAGCAAAGAAUCUAUUCUCCCUCUAAAUUUGGUUUUGCAAAACCUUGAUGGGCCUUUGGAUUUUAUCACCAGUUAUCCACUCAAUUCCUUACUUUUAGCCUCUCUUUUUCCCUCUUUCGAAUUCAAUCCUACGUCUCAAGUACAAAGUUAGAGAUGAAUCCCCUGUGUCUAUAAAAUUUAAUUUCAAAAUUAAUUUAUAUUAGUUAAUUUUAUAAAUAAGAAAUUAAUUUAUUUUAUAUAUUUUUGUAGGCAGACGGUUUUCAAAUUACUAAAAAAAUGAUUAAAUUUUAAUAUAAAAAAUAAAUAUUUUUUUUUAAUUUAAAAUUUUAAAGGGUCAAUUUCUUCAUGUGCUACGGUUUCCAUUUUAAAGUCGUCUUUUAAAUGAUUUCCCUAUGUGCUAGAAUUCAUAUUCAAAUUUGGAAAUCAUUCAAUGAAAACAUAACUUCUCAUUCUACUCAGCCCCACCUCGUGCUCGUGAUUCCAUGGCAUAGAGUGUCACAUAUCAGGAAAUAUUUUGGAAUUUUCUUUAAUAACCAAGAACAAGAAUAGAAAAGUAUAUGAUAGUGGACCAAUUUUUAGCCCCUGCAUUAAAAGGUCUGAAAUUUGGGGUAAUUCGUCAUAAAAAAAAAAAGAGGUAGGUGGGUCAUUUUGUUGAAAGACAGGAAGAGGAAAGGGAAAGGACAGGCAAACCGAUAUCUUUGAACAUUGGAGCUAGUGGGGAGUAAGCAUUCCAUGAUUGGAUCACAUACAUCCUCUGAACCUUUUACUCUUGUACUUAUUGGAUCAUAUGGCUGAGAUCAAGUGAUGAUGCAAGGACAAGGACCUCAAUGAUUGCCUGCCCUUGUAUCUACUCAAAUCUUUUGAAAUACAAAAUUAAUAGGAAAACCCAAGAGGAUACACAGAGCAAGAAAGGUAAGUGUGGUGGGAGCACUGAUUUGGAAGGAUUGGAAUCUUGGGUGGGCUCUGUUGUUUCCAUACCUAAUUUUUCAGGUUGGAGAGUGUUUUAAGUAUAGAAGAAAGGUAUCUUUGUGUGGGGCAUCCCAAACUUGAAUCUUUGCAAAGCAUUGUAGCAUUGCAAGAAGCCAUCAUCAUCAACAAAAACUAAAAUAAUAGCACCCCCUUUGUGAAUGAUUCGAUGCAGAUGUCUAUGGGGACAACAAGCCACAAUCAUACAUGUUUGCAGUUAUACAAGGGGCUCUUUAAAUGUCUUAUUUGUUUGAGGGUGUUAGACAGGGACAUAUAGAAAGGCUUCAGCCUGAAUGCAGCCCAACAACCAAGUACUGAACCUUGGCUUUCGUCCCUAUAAUGAUUCAAUGGUCCUUUCAGUUUGUUGCAUAUGCGUAGACAUUGGGAUGGGGGUCGGCCUAGCUUUGAUAUGGAGCAAUCUUGUUGAGGCUUCAAAAUGCAUGCAAAUAUUUGCUGUUUUAGUAUUUGGUUGGCUCAAUAAUUUGGUUACUAAAGUCGCCCUUCCCUUGGGAUGCCUUCGUUGUCAUAUUAGGAAGACUACGAGAGACUAAAUGUCUCUUAACUCGUACUAAUCAAUGACUAGGCUUGGUCCGUAUGAUGAAUAAAAUAUGUAUGGUGGGUGAGCACCAUUAGACUUCAGCAAGUAGCAGGUGGCUCCACAGUGCCAUAGAUAUUUUUGGCAUAUUCAUAGUUUGGAGGGGACUUGGGUGGCAUACUUCAACUCACAUUGGGAAAAUGGGUCGUUUAAGUUGCAAAAUUGAACAUUCAGCACAUCAAGCAUCUGAAAAUUUUGGGCUCAUCUUUGCAUGGGCUCCAUAAACGUUUGUCAAUGUGCAGCAGGGUUGGGUCAUAUUACUUUUUGGACCAAAGCAGCCAAAAAAGAAAAAAAGAAAAAAAUAAAAAAAAUAAAAAAAUUCAGAUGCUCGGGGUUGUCUUGAUUCUCUGUUCUUUUCAGAUACCUUAUGCAAAAUCACUGAUAUUUUGGCCUUCAUUCUCCUACUGAUAUGAAGUGCUUAAAUUGGUCUGCUCUAGCAUACACAAGGAUUCCCCUUUCUUCUUGUCAAUUAUAGGUAGAUAGACUAACAUUAAUCAGUGAAAAUGACAAUUGAUCAGGCAAAGAAAAACAGGAAUGCUGAGAGACAACUGGGCCUACAUAUAUUAACUUGCGUUUCAAAGUUGGAAUGGUAGAUGGUCUUAGUUCAUCCAUCAUUCCACAUAUGGCAGAUAAAGAUUUUCUUAUGAUGAAACAAAUCUUAUGUUAGAUGAAAGAUUUAUCUUAAUAGUGGUGACUACUCCUUACUUUGAAGUAGGAGUGGACUGGAAUCAUCACCAAACACUACUAACAAGUUGUCAUUAGUGGGGUAGUCAUCAAGUCAAUCCAGAAAUUCCCACCAGGCACUAAGAUGACCAUAUUCAUAGUAUGUCAGUAUGAAUACUGAAACCUUUUUCCCUCUACAGAACAUAUACUCUUCCGAAUGAACAUCUGAAGGUGAUGGAUCUUUCUUUUAUCUGGGCAAAAUUCAAUGUUUAUCCAAUCAUGGGAAAUUAAUACUAAGUAACCAUAGGAAAUAUGUUUAGCCAUCCCAUUGCUUCCAGUUGAAGUGGACGUGGACACCCUUUUGGAGGGCAAAGAGUUCUACUAUCACCCUGCGGAUGUGGGUGUUGAGGUGCUCUUGGAGGCUCAUACUAGCUAGAGCAAUUCCCAACUCAAGUGGAGUUAUUUCCAUACAUUGAUUUUGAUCAGUGGGCCUGCUAAUUCCUUUGAAAUUUAAGUUCCUUAAGGCUAUCGUGACGAGAUGGCCCAGGGCAUUGGAAGUGGCAAAAGUCCUACCCACUAAAAAUAGAAUUUGGGCCAGUAGCAAUAUGUUGUGUCGAGCAUAGGUUUCCAAGUGAGUGGGCUUUUGUGCAAAUGAAAGCUUUCAUUCCAACAAUUGGCCUCUCUUAAGGAUGGUGUUAUCUUCGCAGCAGGCAAUGGAAUCGAUUGAGUGGUAGUGGUAGUGCUAGCAUAUUCCAGCUUUUCAUUCAAUUUCAGCAUAGGCAUUAGGAAGUACGGAUUGUUGUACAAGGAAUCCAUCCUGCUAUCAGGACCACAAAAACAGAGGAGGAAAAGUAUGAACCAUUGUCAAAUAUUUGAAUAUAGACACCUGUUUUUGUCUGAUGGCAGUGGGAUAUUUUAAAUUUGUGAACGGACAGGAUUCAUGUACCAUGGUAGUAUGACCUCUUCCACAAAUCACAAUCCCUUUUGAGUGCUACCCAAGUACGCUGACAGUUGCCCAACAAGAAACAUUCAAACCUAAGCCCAAGAUUAGGCACUAUGUAACUUCAAUGAAACUUCUAUGAAACUCGAUUGUGUGUUGAUAGUUCAACAUUUGAGCACUAUAAAAGGCAUUGAGCUGAUUAUUUGUUAGCCUACAUAUUUUGCUACAUUAAAAAGGGGAGCUAGGUUUCUGUUUAGAAGAACAAGGUUGUUUGAGAUCCUUUUACAAUGGGGAAAACGGCCAAAGGAAAGCGGAAAAUGAGGAACCUAAGAAGAGCAGGAGCCAACCAAAAGCAAACUCAAGGACAACCCCCUGAGUGGGUGAUCGAAAUGAAUAACGAAAUUAAAGAAGGGCUUCUCUGUGACUCUGGAAAAUCGUGGACAGUCUAUCGAGUCCCCAAGAGCAUGCGAGGAAUCCAAAAAAACGCUUUUCUCCCAAAAAUUAUAUCCAUCGGCCCCUUCCAUAAUAAGGACCCAGGGCUACGGAUCAUGGAAGAACACAAGAUGCGUUACCUCUUACGCCUGCUAGAGUCAGGGCCCCGGGAAAAUGGUGAACGAGUAGAAGAUUCGGCGCAACAGGUGCCUCAAGUUGUUAAGGCUAUUCGGUUGGAGGAUCUUGCAGAAUCCAUGAGGAUGUUAGAACAGAAGACAAGGGAAAACUACUCGGAGGAUUUACAGAUUGACAGUGAUGAAUUGAUUCAAAUGAUGGUGAUUGAUGGUUGCUUUGUGCUCGAAUUACUGCGACUCUACUUCAAAUUUGAUAACGAGGUAUGCUAAAGUUUUUGAGUUCUACAGUAAAUCAGGAGACUUGUUGAUUAUGUUUGUUUAAGAUUGAGUUUCCCCCUUCGUGUUACUCAUCCUGGUAGAUAAACACAGCUCACCUUGCUGGAGAAGUCCAGGAAAGAAAGCUACCGGUUCCUUGUAAUUGGAAGCCAAGAUUGUUGACCCAGCUGGCUUCUCUACAAGGAAUUGGACGGCUUCUCUGACUAGGUCCAUGGUUAUUUCCAUAUGGUAUUUUCUCACCUGUCAUUUUUUCUGAAUUUUGGUAAUGAGCUGGCAAUCCAUGACCCAAACCACCGUGCUAUCUGAUCAAGUACACUUGCAGCUGCAACAUCUAAUGGAGCCAUUGUCCAUGGAAAUGGGGCAUUCAACAUUAGUUUGUUAUACAUUUGUUUGGGUUGUUUGGAUAUUAGAUCCCAUUCAUAUAUGUUAUAUGCAGAGUGGGACUAUUAACAUCUAUUCUCUAUUAUACACCCUAUUGCGCAGGAAGAAGUGGAAGAUCCGAUCUUCACAACCCGCUGGAUGCUACGGACCCUCCAGAGAGAUUUAUUGAAGCUUGAGAACCAGCUGCCAUUCUUCGUUCUUGAAAAAUUAUACGAGCUUAUUAGGUUGGUCGAUGACCCACCCCUCGUUGAUCUUGUAGUCACAUUCUUUGAUCCCUUGCUGCCAAGGAAAAAUAUUAAAGGGAAGCUGAACCCUAAUGAGGAGUUUGAUCAUAUGCUUGAUGUGUUCCGUUCCACCUUCCUUUCCUCCAUCAAUGAAAGAACUAAACCUGCUGGAUGGAAGCAACUGCAAAAGUUAGACAACAUUCCACUGGUUGAAGAGAGACAGUUAAUUCACUGUGUCACAGAGCUUCAAGAAGCAGGGGUUCGAUUUAAAAUGAGAGAAGACCUCGAUUUGCUGGACAUAAGUUUUAAAGACGGGAUGUUGAAAAUCCCUCCUCUAUACAUUGAUGAUAAUACAGUCCCCCUCUUCCUAAAUUUGGUUGCUUACGAGCAGUGUGACCAAGAUGCUAAACCUUUCUUCACCAAUUUCUGCAUGUUCUUUGAUAGCUUGAUCAAUUCUCAUACCGACGUCGGGAUUCUUCACAAGAAUGGGAUAAUCAAUCAUGUUUUGGGGAGCGAUAAGGAUGUAGCAAAUCUUUUUAACAAGCUUGGCCGGGAGAUUGUUUAUGAUUUGGAUGAAUGCUACUUAUCUCAACAAAUGAUGGACGUUAACGACUACUGCAAACAAUACUUUGCGAGCAAAUGGCAUGUUUGGUUUACAAACUUGAUCCGUGACUAUUUCAGUAGUCCUUGGACUUUUCUCUCCCUCCUUGCUGCCAUUGCUCUUUUGUUGCUUACUACUGCUCAAACUUUUUAUGCUGUGUAUGCUUACUAUUUUCCAAAGUCAUAAUUGACCUGUGGAUUUUCUAUGUAUAUUCCCCACUGUUCAUUCACUUUACCGUUACUUGUAUAUCAUUUCCACUCUUAAGGCCAACCAAAGCCUGCUCCCUCCUGACCCCAUAUACUUUUAUUUCAUUUUCAUGAAUGCAUUUGAAUAAUUGUGAAUGAUCACAUAGUUAUUUGUGUAUUUAAUUUUAAUUUUUUUCCAACUCCUCUGAAUAGGGUAGUAGGGCUAAUUAAAUGUCUAAUCAUAAAGUUCUUUCAUAAUUCUAUCUCUUCUUUAUUUCUUCUUCUGUGAUAUAUAUAUAUAUAUAUAUAUAUAUAUAUAUAUAUAUAUAUAUAUAUAUAUAUAUAUAUAUAUUUCAAGACAUUAUCAACACCAAUUCUCUACAAAAACUCUUAUAAGCUCUUUUAGAAGAUUGUAACAUUGUAAGGAUAAAUCUAUGGUCGGAAAAUACCUCCUUUCUCACAUGAAAGGUAUGUGAUAAAAUUUUACUUUUAUUUGAUUUGUUUUAUUUAAAUGAAGAAAUAUGUUCAUAUGGUGCAUAGAAAAUAUUUUUGUAGCCAGAAACUAUGAAAAAAUUUCACAAUCAAAAGUUAUGUAACAUUCUCUAGAAAUUAUGCAAGAAAUGUUGUUACCGUUUUCAUAAUUAGGAGUUAUAAAAAUAUAACUAGAAGCUAUGCAUUCAAUUUCUAAUUCCUUUUAGUUAUAUUAUAUACUAAAAAUUUUACAAAACAAAAUUGCUAGCUACUUAGCCAUUUGCACUUUUUUUUAAAAAAAUUUAUGUAGCUAAAAGCUAUAUAAAGAACAUUUCCUAGCUUGAAGCUACAAAUUUAUAUAUUUUGUUAUAAGAAAAUAUGUAAAAAUAAUCCAUACCCAAAAGCUAUGAAAAGUGCUAUCCAUUCUCAAUUUUUAUUAUGUGAAUGCUACUUAAUGGUUAUGCAUUUUUUUAGCAUAUUUACAAAUAAUAUAAUAGUAAUUAAGAAAAUAUAAUAAAAUGUUAAAUAAUUGUAUUUUUAUCAUAAGCAAAUAUUGUAUUUUUUUACUUGAUAAAAUAUUAUUAAAUUGUUUUAUUUCAUUUAUUUAUAGUUUAUUUCAAUAAUUUGAAAGAUGAUUCUAAUAAAAUGACUGCAUAUACGGUUUUCAAAUAAUGUCACAUCUUACCAAGCUUGUGUUUGUUGCUUUUGAUAUUUCGAGCAAAAAUUGCUAUCUCGGGGUUACAAACACCUAGAUUACAGACACUAGUUCAUAAAGAGUCUACAUGUAGUGGAUAAUAGGUCAUGAACCCAAACUUCAUCUCGUUGUCAUUUACAUAGGGUAUUGGAGUGUAGUUGAUUAUCUGUAGUAGGAUGUUGAAUCAACUUUAGAAUUAGAUUUUGAGGGAUACAAUACUACUAUGGGUCCCAAUGGUCCCCAUUUGAACUCAUAUACCUUGAUGACAAGAUUUAUCAUAGUUGGAUUGACUCUAGGUUCACUUUUGUGCAUAAGGGUGUUUUGGUAAUUAUGUAAGGUUGCAUAGAGGUUAGUGAACAAGGUCUCUAUAAAGGGCCAAUUGAUUAAUGAGACAACCACAUUUAGUUAAUUAAUUAAUUAAGACUUGUUUUGGGCUAGAUUAAGUAACCUAAGCCUUUAGUGGGCUUAAGUCACUUAAGCCUAAUUAAGGAACCCUAUAUAUACCCCUUUAAGGGUUAGGGUUUCCCAAUCACUUUUGUGAAAGCCAUCUUCCACUUCUAGAAAGAGAGAGUCAAAGCUCAAUUCCAAAGACCCACCAUUUGGAGUGCCAAGAUCGAGGUUAGAGCCAUUGGAUGGAAGAUCUUGAUCGUGUGAGACCUUUAGAUUCUUUAGGCUUCUUCUUCACAAUGUGGAAUCAAUUUAUUAAUGUAUAAAUUGAAGGUAAAGUUUUCUAUAGUCUUUAAUCUAGAUCCUUGAAUGUUAAAAAAAAAAUGCUGCUUUUGCUUUCAUUGCAUAGGAUCUAGAGGCCUAGGGUAGAUUGCAUGUACAUAUACGACCUAAGGCAUGGGAAUAGAGAAAUCCAAGGUUCCUAUCAAUUGGUAUCAAAGCCCUAGGAUAGGUUUUUGCUUGUUAGAUUUGCUUUAGGGUGUGCUAACUUUGUUUUACAGGGUUGCUUGUUUCAUCCCAUGGCCAUAGGGAUGAGUGUUCAUGGAUUUUAAUUGGAAUAUGAUGGUCAUAACUGUGAUUUGUUUUUGCUUUCUUCUAGAUUGGGUUGUAAGCUUCGUGUUUAAGAGUAUAGGAUUUUUGUUGCAUUCUAAAAAUCUUAUUUUUAAUAAGUAGAUUGAUUGUAAACUCCAAACCAAUGGAGUAUAGGAUGUUGACAUAAAAUUCUAGUUUUAAAUCAAUCUUGUAACCCAUGGAAGGUAAGAAAACAAUCCAGGAUGUCCAAGUUAAGGGUUCUUUGCAAGUAGAUGAGUUGUUUAUAGUAAGUCCACAGGUUUAGACAAUCCAUUUGAGGCUGUAGUGCUCUAUCACUUAAUUGGAGGGAUGUUUUUUCUUAGUCAUUGGGAUGGGGUUCCCAUGUUGAGUGCACUAAUGUAUAUGGUUAGACAUUGAAUAUGACCUAUGAUGAGUCAUGACAUUGGCUAUUAGUUAGUCAUGACUUCACCAAACUAUUAUGUUGUAUGGGCUCUCAACCUUGAGUGAAUAUUGAGCUAGUGCUAAGGUUUUCAAUGGCUUUGACUUAUGAGUGAGAUCUUAAAGUAGUCCCAUAUUCCAAAUGGAUUGGGUCACUACUGAUUAAGGUGGGUGAUAACAAGUAUUCUUAAGAUAAGCACCAAGAUAUUUCAUGGGUUUGAGAAAGUGUGUCCCUAUAGGUAAUCCUAAGGACAUGUGAUAAGAAAAACUAUGACCACAAUAUUUCCUUAAGUGAAAUUUGACAUAUGCUCUUAGAAAGAUAUAGUAUGUCGGUUGAUCACAUAAUAGGAGGAUAUGAGACUCAAGAAUUAUAAAGGUAAUCUUGAGAGAUUGAUAACAUUCACCUUGUUAGAUUACAAACACCUAUUCAUGGUGAGCUUUCAUAUAAUGGUUAAUAUGUGACAUAUUGAUUACUACCAAAAAGUGCUAUUUUGUAGAUCUAAUUAUAAUGGUUUUAAGCACCUUUGAGUAGUAAUCAUAUUCAUUUAACCCAAUUAAUUCAUUAAGGUCCUUAGUAAUUGGUUUUAACCAUUUUGUGGCAAGUUUACAUGUUUUUAUUAGCUCAUGAACCAAUUCAAGCAUGCCAAUUGAUGGAGGAGCUACUUGGACAAGUUAAAGCAAGGAUUUUGGAAGUUUACAGGCUUGAAUUUCAAGUGGAAACACGAGCACAAGCAAUGGAGAAGAGGAAAAUAGAGUGAAGAAAACAGAGGACAGCAGCUGUAGUCUUCUUUAGCACUUUUAGAUCACUUCCCGAAGUCCAUUUUCUACAUGCUAUAUACCAUUUCAAAGCUCAGGAAGUCAAAAAUCCAACGCUUCAAACGGUGUACGAUUCGGAGUUGAAAUGAAGGAGUUAAAGCCAUUGGAAGCUGAUCACUCCAAGCUGAAGGAAGAUUUUUGCAUGGCUGCGAAAUUAGCCUUUUGCUGUGAGAAUUUCGCAGCCAUUUUGAACAGUGCACGGGUGUUCUCCUGAAGCUUCCCGAUAGUUGCGACCGACACUUUUGGAUAUUUUUCUUCAGAUAUUUUUGUAUAAAUUUCCAUUCUUCUCCUUGUAAUCCACCAACCAUAAGAUUUCUUAGCUAGGAAGGUUGGAAAAACGUCUCUAUAUAUAUUCCCUUGCAUCCACUGUAAUAGAUAUAGAAUCAUAUAUGUAAUAUCGAUCAAUAUAUAGAAUAUACAGAGCCUUGCUCUGUUUUUUUUCUCUCUUCUCCUGUUCUUCCCCAUUUCUAUUUUCUUAGUAGCCAAACAACCUCUGAGGGCUUUUCCUCAGAGGAUGAUUGGCUAAAACUUUUAGUUUCUCAAAGUAUGGAUGUUAUGUGAUGACUUGGAUGCAAUCCCAUGGAAAUUUCUCGCACCUGGAAGGUAAGGUAGUCGUUUUUCAUUAAUGGUUCAUUAAUGCAAAGUUUGGUUUUUAUUUCCUUUGGACAACUUCCAACGGCCAAUACUUGAUAAGCUUUUGGAUUUUUAUCCAUUAGUUAUCUCCUACGAGCUAUUGGAAGGUGAGGUUUUCAAUUCCAAGUUUUGCAUUAAUCUGUUAGAACCAAUUUCAAUGACCAUUGAAAGGUGAGUUUAUCACCUGGAAUGACCUUGAGUUGCCAAUAUUUGGUAAGCUUUUGGCUUUAAACCAUUAGUUAUCUCUUACGAGCCAUUCAAAGGAAGUCUAAGGUGAAUAACCAUUGAUGAAAUUCACUACCAUCUGUUUUGCCAUUUUAAAGGAUUAAAACUUGAUUUGCUAAAUCCAUACCGGUUCGAGAAGCAAACAUCACCAUAGUUGCAACCCCAACGCGAGGAGCCUAUCCUGAGAUUUCCAAUUUGCAUAAGAGUCAGAGCAUAGCUAUCCUAUCUUUGAGAAACUUGUUUUUACACCCUUUCAUUUUAAUCUUUAAUGUUAGCUUAGAUUAGUUUAAAUCUUUCUAAAACAUUUACAUCUUUAUGUUUUCUUUUAAAGCUAACUUUGAAAUGAAAAGGCACCAAUUCAUCUUUGAAUUAAUAUCAUUUGUGAAGUGAAAACCCAUCCCAGCGAACGAUCCUAGAACCACUAUGCUAUAGUAGCUUGGCUACUUUAGUAAUAGUAUUUAAGGUAUAAAUUUUGUUGAUACGCCUUUAAAGCUAAGCUACCAUGAGUCGAAUCACAUAUUAAAGCAUAAUAUCUUGAGUUAAUUUAAUAAUAUAAUGGACUGCAGUUGAUUCUCUAUAGUGUAAUGUUGAGUUAGCUUCAAAAUUGGAUUAUGAGGAAACUAUUAUUUUUCAAUGGGUCGUAAUGAUCCUCUCUUGAACGCAUAUUUUUUUAUGGUACAUUAUUUAAGGGAUAAUUGGGUUCUUAGUUCAUAUGUGCACAUAAGGGUAUUUUGGUAAUACAUAAGGUUACACAAGAGCUUAUGAAUAGUUUUUCCAUAUUAGACUGAUUAAUUAAUUAAAGCUCAAUCAAACUAAUUAAUUAAUUAGAACCUAGUGGACUAGAUUAAGUAAUCCAAACCCAAGAUGUGAUCAAAUUACUUAAGCCCAUAAAGAAGCCUACAUAAACCCUCUUAAGGGUUUAGGGCUUAUAUCUUUUGGCUAUUCAAUCUUCUAGAGAGAGGAAACCUAACCUCCAUCCCAAUAGAGAGGAUUCUACCAUUCUCAUAUGCCAAGAUUGAGGGAAAAGAGCAAUAAAGUAGAAGAUCUCUUGGUUUUCAAGAUAUGUAUCAUCUUUUCAUUGAUUGGAAUAGAUCUAAGAACAUCUAGAUCCCAAGUAUCACACAUAUUCUCAUGAUCCAUGUUCUAAUUACCUAUAUGAUUUUGUUACAUAGAUCUAGAGAAGCCUAGGAUCAUUUUUGUAUGCACCCUAACAAUUUAGUGCAUGGGAUGGUUUUCCAAGCCAUUCCUACAAGCCUUGGUUAUUUGGGAUUCUCUAUAAUGUAUUGUAUUAUCAACAAUUCUUAUAGACAUCCUUUAAAAAUAAUUAGAAGAUUUUGGUUCCUAAUGAUUACAAUUGUGUUGUCUGUUCACAAAUUAAAUUAAUUAUUAAACCAUAUUUCAUCAAAGUUGUAUUUAAAUCCUCAGCCUUUUUAAAAUGCAUUCAAGGGGGCAUUUGUGGGUUCAUUCACCUAUCUACUAGAUCAUUUCAUUAUUUUAUGGUUUUAAUUGAUUUAUUAACUCGAUAACCUCAUGUUUGUCUUUUUUCAACUUCAAUUAAUGUUACCUUUGCUAGAUUACUUACUUGAAUAAUUUGAUUUACAACUCCUUGAUCACCUUAUUAAGAUAAUUUAAAUUGAUAAUACUUGCGAAUUCUCCUUGCAAACAUUCGUUGAUUAUUGUAUAUCGGUUGGUAUUAUUGUUGAGCAUCUUAUUACUCAUACUUAUACCUAUAAUGGAUCAAUUGAAUCUCUUAUUAAGUGCUUGUUGCUUUAAGGAAUAAAUAUUUGAAAGAAUAGGAGAGUAUAGGUUUGUCAUAUCCUUAAAUGUAGACUAGUGCAAUACUAGGAUCAAUCUAUCAGGAAAUUUUCUCCUUAGUUGUGAGAAAAACUUGCUAAAAAGCACCGAACUGUUUGUAUAAGGUUAAGUUAAAGUGUUUGUUGAAAUGAAAGAUAACAAUUUUAUAGACAAAAAUUAGGUGUACACUUUUCCCUUAAUUUAGUCCUCUUCUUUGAGUGAGAUAAUCCUUUUUAGUAUUCUAAGUUAGGUGUACCUUUUUGAUGCUCAAACUCACUCCCAAUGUUGCUUAGCUUGUCACCCUCACAACUUUACAAAAAGUAUUUACUAUGAUAAAAACCUAAUUUCACUUCAUCUACUGUGGUUAGCUUCAAGGAGAGUGGGAGAUACUAAGGUUCAAACAUACUACUAGAAUUGCUUAGCUUGUGGCCCUUCACAAUUUUGUACCAUGGAUUUGCUACAACUAUCAACUUUGUUUUCCUAUCCACUGCAUUAUUAAACCAAGUUGUAAGAGGUACCAUCCUCUUUCAACCCACACCACUUAAUUAUCUACUUUAUUUUUCAUUAAUUAAAGAGAAUAAAUGCUUCAAGGCUUGUUAAUUCAAAAAUGAAAGUGAGGGUCAACAAAAGAGACUAAAACAAGAUGACCUUUCUUCUCAAAAGUAGAAAUUUUAUAAAUCAUCAAGAAAGUCAUACAAAGAUAUUACCAAGGAAAACUAACUUUGAACUUCUCUAUUACUAAAUUUUAUUUUCUUUCUUUUUCUUUUUCUUUUUAACUACUUUCAACUCUUUGUACAAAAAUUGUAUAUGUAUGGACUCAAAUGAUAUACAACUUUUUUCUUUUUCUCUUUGUUGUUUCUCUUCAACUACUUUUCUCUUUCUAACUACUUUCCCCACCCAUGUGUGAAGGCUUAAAAGUCUUAGCUAUUAAGAACUUUGGAUUACUUCUUUCUUUGCCUUGAAUCCUAUAAGGUGCUUGUUAUCUAUCUUUAGGCUCUUUAGAUGUAAUGUACAAAAAAUAAUGGCUAUAAAAAUAUAAUCAAUCAUAGAUCUAAAGAUAUAGAAGUCAUAUAUGCAAUCUGGAUGUUCCUAGAUUGAAUCCAAUCCAAAGAGAAUGUUGAAUCCACGGUAGUCAUUGUUGAUUUUGUCUACCACAAUCUUCCAUCUGAUUUCCCCCUUCAUGAGAUCUUGACACGAGAGGGGUGGGCUUCUCUUCCUCUCUUAAGGGUGGCUAGGGUUUGCUUUGUCUCUUUAGAAGAUGAUAAACAAAGUGCCAAAAUGGUAAACCUUAAACCCUUGAGGGGUUUCAUAUGGGGUUCUUUGUGGGCUUAAGUGACUUGAACCCAAAUUGGGUUUGGGUCACUUAAUCCUACCUACUCGAGUCUUAAUUAAUUAUUUAACCUUAUUGGGUUCCAAUUAAUUAAUUAGCCCAAUUCAAAAAUACCAUUCAUAAGAUUUAUUGCAACCUUACAUUUUUAUCGAAACACCCUUAUGCACACUUAUAAACUACAAACCUAAAUCUUUCAAAUAAAACUUGCUACCAUGAACUAGGGGCAUAAACAAGGACUCAUAGGAAAAUACUGGCUCCCACUAAAUCCAAUUUUGAAGUUGAGUCAAUACUCUAUUAAAUAAAGUCAAUUGCACUCUAGUUUCUUAUGAUAUAACAACGAGACAAAGCUCGAGUCCAUGACUUACUAUCCAUUGCAUGUAGACUCCUUAUGAAUUGGUUUCUAUGAUCUAAUGAGGUAAAUGCUAUCAUCCUCUUAAGAUCACCUCUCCAAUCCUUGAGUUAUAGAUCCUCUAAUUACAUAAUCAAUUGACAUACCCCUAGCUUAUAAAGUGCAUUUGUCAAAUUUCACUUAAAGAAUUACUAUGACCACAAAUUUUAUGAUCACAUGUCCUUAGAAUCACCCAAGGGGACACACUGUCUCAAUCCCAUGAGAUAUCAUGGUGCCAUUAUCAAGAAUUUCUAUUGUCACCAGCUUUCAUCAAUAGUAACCUAAUCUAUAAGGAAUAUAUGACCACCUUAUGGUUUCACCUAUAGGUUAAAGUCUCCUGUUGGUUUUAUCAUAGACUUAAUAUCCUCUCAAGUUUGAGAGUCCAUGCAAUAUAGUAGCUUGGUGAAGGCAACUUGAUAUUCUUACUUCAUGACUUACCAUAGGUUCUAUCCAAUGUGUAACUAUAGAUAUUAGUACACUCACCAUGGGAACUCUAUCUAAAUGGCUAAGACAAGUCAUCUCUCCAAUUAAGGGAUAGUGCACUACAAUCUCUAUUGGAUUGCCCAAAUCUAUGAACCGUUUGUGAACUACUUAUCAUCUUGUAAGGAACUAAUGCCUUGUAUCUUUUGUGCAACUCUCAUGCACCUAAUUCAUGUAUAAUGCAAGUGAUAUGAGCCUGAAUGCUCAAAUUAAUAUUAAUACGAAUGGUCGAUAGAGAAGUGGAAACUUAAGUAUAACUUUGUUACAUUAUGCCUUGCUUUUAAGGGCUUUAUCCUAACAAACUUUUACUAGCCCUAAAUGUAGACUGGGCAUCGCAAAAAUUUGAUCUAUUGUCACUUCACUUCUCUAAACUGCCUCACAAAACAUGUAUUACUUUCUCUUUAUGCAUUUUCUUUUCUAGUGAUUCCUUGGUUCUUUAGAUUGUGACACCAUACCACUAUUAUCAUAAAAUAGGAUCUUACAUGAUAUAAACAAGAGAACUACCCCAAAGCCUUACAGUUUCUUUGUUACUUUAGAAGUUACAACAAAUACCACCUAGAGUAUGCACAUACCUAGAGGCUGAUCGGUGGAGUCCUCAUUAGAUUGAAAGUGUCAAUCUUGGUACCUAAGGAGUGCCAACUUAUUGCAAAAACUUACAAGCAUAUAAUCUUUCAUUCUCCUAAGAUACUUCACUAUAUGCUUAACAUCCACCUAAACUCUAAUCCUCAAUUGGACUGAUAUCUACUCACUAUCCUUACAACAAAGCAAAUAUCCGAUCUAACACAUAAUGUCACAUACAUAGGGUUGCCCAUUGCAUAGACAUAAGGUACCGCUUUAAUGUGAUUGUUUUUCUCAAAUGUCCAAGGACAUCGAUCCUAAGAAAGGGGACUCAAAACCUAAGGGAUAACAAACCCUUCUUGGAGUCCUAUAUCAUGUACUUGACCAAAUGUUAGUCAAUGUAGAUGACAUUGUGCAAUUUUCCUAUUCUUGUAGUCUUAAAGGGCUUUAAUCCCAAGAAUAUAUUAUGCCCUUUAUAGAUUUUCAACUAAAAUUGAGUAGACAGUGAGAUCUUAAUUGAUCACAAUAUCCCUACAUCAUUCUCAAUGAGUAGAUUGUCAUCUACCUACAAGAUCGUAGGGCACCACCAUGCUUUGUUGUGCCUUUUACACAAGACCCUUUACUAUGAAAAUGUCAAGUUGCAUGAUAUAUAUAUUAACAUCAAACUAAUUGUUUAAGAGUACUAUCUAGAUAUCCAAUUGCCAUAUCUCAUAAUUGAGAUGUGUUGCAAUAGAUAUGAGUACUCUGAUGAAUUUUAGUAUGGUUAUUGGUAAAAUGAUUUCCUAUAGUCAAAACAAUGUUUUGAACUAUAAUAUUUAACUACAAUCCUAGCCAUAUGAGUCUCAACCAUUCCAUCUUUCCCAUGUAUGAACACUAAAAGGUCCACACACAUAAGUGUAUAUGUACUAAUUGCAAACAUUUCUUGACUCUAUAUCCUUUAGCAAUAAAGUGCCUCUUGGUUAUUUUACCACUUAUACAAGAUUCAUAGACUGGAAGAUUUUCUAGAUUUAAAAUGUUCAGAAUUAGCCAGUCUUUGGAUUCUAUUUAGAUUAAUAUGACCUAGGCUUUAAAAUCCAAAUUCUUGAUUAGUAUUAGGUUUAUUCCUAUUAGUGAGAUUUGAUAAUUCUCAUUUCAUGAAAAAAGUGAAAAUGGAGUCAUACAUAAAAGAGAUAAAAUACCUUCCACUAGUGGGCUUGGAAUCUAUCCACCAUAACUAGUGAGAUUCACCACUAUAUAAUCAAGAAUGAGAAAAUGAUGCAUACUUUCUGACCGAAAUUUCUCUAUUGUACCAAAAUACUUAGCCUUUUUACGUAGUAACUCCGGUGAAGAAAAACUAGAGAAAGAGUCACUACGGCUUUUGUAGUAUUCCGGGUAUCGUUCUCAAGGACUGGCUUAUGAAAAUUGUCAAUACUAGAAUAAAUGAAUUGUUUUUGUUUAAAUCCUUAAGUGAAAAACAAUAUGUGAAUAAUGUGAAACUAAGUAAAAGAAGUUAAAUUAAUAAGAAAAAAAUGAAUAUUGAUUUUAAAUUCAAUUGAUUCAAGUUUGGGGUUU
rnacentral:lncRNA from 1 species